UCUGGCACCUUCGGUGUCCGAGUUGUAAUUUGAAGAUUGUARCCUUGGGGUUGGCUCUUGUCUAUGUUUCUUGGAACAGGACGUCACAGAGGGUGAGAAUCCCGUGCGAUGAGAUGCCCAAUCCUAUGUAAGGUGCUUUCGAAGAGUCGAGUUGUUUGGGAAUGCAGCUCUAAGUGGGUGGUAAAUUCCAUCUAAAGCUAAAUAUUGGCGAGAGACCGAUAGCGAACAAGUACAGUGAUGGAAAGAUGAAAARAACUUUGAAAAGAGAGUGAAAAAGUACGUGAAAUUGUUGAAAGGGAAGGGUUUGAGAUCAGACUCGAUAUUUUGUGAGCCUUGCCUUCGUGGCGGGGUGACCCGCAGCUUAUCGGGCCAGCAUCGGUUUGGGCGGUAGGAUAAUGGCGUAGGAAUGUGACUUUGCUUCGGUGAAGUGUUAUAGCCUGCGUUGAUGCUGCCUGCCUAGACCGAGGACUGCGAUUUUAUCAAGGAUGCUGGCAUAAUGAUCCCAAACCGCCCGUCUUG
rnacentral:rRNA from 1 species